UGAGGUUGGCCAUCCUCAUCCACACUUCUUGACCUACCUUGGCCUCGACCUCUACCCCUAUUUGGGACUCUUCCUCGGCCUACAUAACCCAUUGGUGGUUGCUCUCCACCAACACCUGAUCUUGUUCACACCAUCUUCCUAUAAGAAUAAUAAAAAGAAUCAACUAGAAUCAUUAUGCUAUAACUAUACUCAUAUAAUCUAUUAACCUAGAAUCUGAUACCAAACAAUAUAGCACCCCACCUCCUAAUCAAGCAAGGGUUUAAUAGCUGAGCUAGGUUUUCGUAGCAUCUCAUGCCAUGGUUCACAAGAAACUAAUAAAUCCU
rnacentral:lncRNA from 1 species